CCCGGGUAGCACAGGCACCGGGACGUGACCCGACACGAACCCUGCGGGUCAGAUUAGAGGAAGGAAACACUCGUGUCUGUGAACGACAGAUCCAUGACCAAAGAGUCUGUGUGAGGGUUUGCAGACGGGGCUGCAGACAGACUGGAGUCUUCUCCCACCACUGACGGUCUCACUGCCAGGGUCAACUUGUAGCUGCUCUGGAGCUGUCAUCGCCUUUCAUGAUGUUCUUCGCCAGACGGAUAUGCCCAGGGGCGAUCACUUAUUUCCAUUUUUCUGAUCACUUAACAGACCUCAGGAAAAAAUGGAAAUGUGAAGGUGACAAGUGGACAACAACCUUCUCCUGAGGAAGAGAAUGUGAAAGCCCCAGAGCUGCUGCUAAAUGGACUAAUUGUGCUGAGACCCAUUUGAUAAGCGACUGUUUCCGAGGUCACGAAUCAGUUUACAGAAGAAAGAGUGAGGAGGACAGCUCUCUUACUGCAACACCAACAUCCCACAUGACCCUCGUGUG